CUGAUUAGAAGCUUGCUUCUAUGACGUUAGCGGCGGACGGGAGAGAACGCGUGGGCAACCUGCCUGUAAGACUGGGAUAACCCCGGGAAACCGGAGCUAAUACCGGAUAACAUUUUCUCUUGCAUAAGAGAAAAUUGAAAGAUGGUUUCGGCUAUCACUUACAGAUGGGCCCGCGGUGCAUUAGCUAGUUGGUGAGGUAACGGCUCACCAAGGCAACGAUGCAUAGCCGACCUGAGAGGGUGAUCGGCCACACUGGGACUGAGACACGGCCCAGACUCCUACGGGAGGCAGCAGUAGGGAAUCUUCCGCAAUGGACGAAAGUCUGACGGAGCAACGCCGCGUGAGUGAUGAAGGCUUUCGGGUCGUAAAACUCUGUUGUUAGGGAAGAACAAGUACAAGAGUAACUGCUUGUUUUUUUGACGGUACCUAACCAGAAAGCCACGGCUAACUACGUGCCAGCAGCCGCGGUAAUACGUAGGUGGCAAGCGUUAUCCGGAAUUAUUGGGCGUAAAGCGCGCGCAGGCGGUUUCUUAAGUCUGAUGUGAAAGCCCACGGCUCAACCGUGGAGGGUCAUUGGAAACUGGGGAACUUGAGUGCAGAAGAGAAAAGCGGAAUUCCACGUGUAGCGGGUGAAAUGCGUAGA
rnacentral:rRNA from 1 species